UGGAAAAAUGAUGACAAUUUCAAGGUAUUCGAAAUGAGUGAUGAAUGUUAUGUGUCUAAAACACUGAAGUCUAA